AUUUUGAUUCCGUCGUCUAGAAAGGCAUUUUGGAUUUUUUUGGCUGUUUUCCAGAAACCAAUCGCGCCGUUUUAGGAAACGUUGCCGUUCGAAUUUUAUGGUUUUUGUAUAGAAGUUUGCAGGCCCCUUCUGAUUAAGGAAGCAGUGGCCAUCGUUUUUGCCGCUUUUGUAUGUACGAUUCCAGAUGCGUGAGGUAUAGAAUCUUCAAAUUGCUCACCUUAAGUAGACAACGGCGUGCAUAUGUAGUUUAUCAUUGAAUAAUCAACCUCUCAUCACUAAAUUAUCGUUUAAGUUUGUUUUUAAUUUAGUUCACAAAUGAAUCAACCAAGUUAUCAUGCCAUAUUGAUACGAAAUUA